CAGUCGCCGCGGUAAUACGAAGGGUGCAAGCGUUAAUCGGAAUUACUGGGCGUAAAGCGCACGUAGGCGGCUUGGUAAGUUAGAGGUGAAAGCCUGGAGCUCAACUCCAGAAUUGCCUUUAAGACUGCCGAGCUAGCAGGUGAGAGAGGUAAGUGGAAUUCCGAGUGUAGAGGUGAAAUUCGUAGAUAUUCGGAAGAACACCAGUGGCGAAGGCGGCUUACUGGCUCAUACUGGACGCUGAGGUGCGAAAGCGUGGGGAGCAAACAGGAUUAGAUACCCCCGUAGUCCCUGUCUCUUAUAC
rnacentral:rRNA from 1 species